GAAAGUAAGUAAGGGCGUAUGGGGGAUGCCUAGGCUCUUGGAGGCUAAGAAGGACGUGGUAAGCUGCGAAAAGCUGCGGGGAUUUGCAAACGAGACUCGAUCCGCAGAUAUCCGAAUGGGACAACCCGGCAGGUAGAAGACCUGUCACACCGCGAGGUGAGCUAACCCUCUGAACUGAAACAUCUAAGUAGGAGGAGGAAAAGAAAGAAACAUCGAUUUCCAAAGUAGCGGCGAGCGAAAUGGAAGAAGCCCAAACCGAUAUUGUUACGGCAAUAUCGGGGUUGUAGGACUGCAAUAUUCAAUUAACAAUGAACUGGAAUGGUCUGGAAAGUCCAUCCAUAGAGAGUGAAAGGCUCGUACAGGUAAGUUUGUUAUGCGAAAGCAGUAUCCUGAGUAUGGCGGGACACGAGGAAUCCUGUCAGAAUCAGCCGGGACCACCCGGUAAGGCUAAAUACUCCCAAGAGACCGAUAGUGGACCAGUACUGUGAAGGAAAGGUGAAAAGAACCCCGAACAGGGGAGUGAAAUAGAACCUGAAACCAUACGCUUACAACCGGUCGGAGCAGCUUCGUGCUGUGACGGCGUGCCUAUUGAAUAAUGAGCCUACGAGUUACUAAUCACUAGCGAGGUUAAGUGCAAGGAUGCACGGAGCCGAAGCGAAAGCGAGUCUGAACAGGGCGUUUAGUUAGUGGUUGUAGACGCGAAACCUUGCGAUCUACCCUUGAGCAGGUUGAAGGUUGGGUAAAACCAACUGGAGGACCGAACGAAUAAGCGUUGAAAAGCUUCUCGAUGACUUGAGGGUAGGGGUGAAAGGCUAAUCAAGCUGGGAAAUAGCUCGUACUCCCCGAAAUGCCUUUUGGGGCAGCGUUGUAAUAAAGAGUCUACUGGAGGUAGAGCUACUGAUUGGAUGCGGGGGCUUCACCGCCUACCAAAUCCUGACAAACUCCGAAUGCCAGUAGUAUGAUUUACAGCAGUGAGUGACUGGGUGCUAAUGUCCAGUCGCAAAAGAGGAACAACUCAGACCAGCAACUAAGGUCCCGAAGAAUAUGCUAAGUUGAUCUAACGAUGUUUUGUUGCAGAGACAGCUAGGAUGUUAGCUUGGAAGCAGCUAUUCAUUCAAAGAGUGCGUAACAGCUCACUAGUCGAGCGACAGAGCGUGGAUAAUAAACGGGCAUCAAGCAUAUCACCGAAGUUCUGGGCGCGAGAGCGCGGUAGGGGAGCAUUCCAUUCAGCGUCGAAGCAGUUUCGUGAGGAAUUGUGGAGCGUAUGGAAAAGCAAAUGUAGGCAUGAGUAACGAUAAUGCGGGAGAGUAACCCGCACACCGCAAGACCAAGGUUUCCUGAUCAACGCUAAUCGGAUCAGGGUUAGUCGGGUCCUAAGGGUAAGCCGAACGGCGAUCUCGAUGGAUAAUCGGUUAAUAUUCCGAUACUAACAUAUACCUCGAUGGAGAGACGAAGGAACGUAAGUGCCGCCACCUGACGGAAUAGGUGGUUAAAGGGCGUAGGUAUAGGGGCAGAUUAAGAGUUAGUCCUUGCUGAAACCUGACAGUACAGAGAGCCUACGGGCAAUUUGAUAGAGCACCCAAGUCGACUUCCGAGAAAAUCUUCUAAGUUAUAGUAUAUGUUACCCGUACCGUAAACCGACACAGGUGGUCGAGGAGAGUAUCCUAAGGUGCUCGAGUGAAUCACGGUUAAGGAACUAGGCAAAUUAACCCCGUAACUUCGGGAAAAGGGGUCCCUAUGAAAGUAGGGCGCAGCGAAGAGGUCCAGGCGACUGUUUAUCAAAAACACAGGGCUCUGCAAAUUCGAAAGAAGACGUAUAGGGCCUGACACCUGCCCGGUGCUGGAAGGUUAAGAGGGGAUGUCAUCGCAAGAGAAGCAUUGAAUCGAAGCCCCAGUAAACGGCGGCCGUAACUAUAACGGUCCUAAGGUAGCGAAAUUCCUUGUCGGGUAAGUUCCGAC
rnacentral:rRNA from 1 species